rnacentral:rRNA from 1 species
GUUUGAUCUCAAAUCAGGUAGGACUACUUGCUGACUUAGCAGGCCCGUAUUGAA